UCUUAGGACCCAAUGUUUUGGGCUUUUGGUUCAUUGGAUAAAUACGUUUCCCUGGGGAUGAUGAGAUAAAGAGGUUUAGCGGCGCUUGUGAAAAGAAAGGUUAAGGGAAGAUCGUUCAGAUCAAAGUGAGUGAAUCGGAGAGGGAGAAUGUGAAUCGGAAUCGGAAUCGCAAACGGAAUCGCAGUUGGAGUUCGAAUCCGAAUCCGAGUCAGAAUCGCAAUGGCAAAUUGUAUGUAUGUUGCCAGGAAGAAAACGGCUCCAGGGGCUGCUACCUAAUCCGCGCCAUCGAUUUGGAGCGUUUGAUGGCUUGCUCCUGUGACUUUGAUGAAGUCGAAUGUGUGGAAAUCGAGUGCGCUAGCUGCGAAUCCUGCCCCGAUCAAGAUUUGCGGCCAGUCGGUUUACUCUACGGCGACCAGUACGAUGUCCCCAGCUGCAUGGGCUGCUGUCCCUUUGGCUCCCAAGUUGUCUUCGUAGGCGGCGAGUUAGCACCGUGGUCUCAUGAUUUCAAACCCAGCCGAAAGGUUUUCGUCUAUGACAUUGAGGAUGGGCUCCGGCUUCAGGGCUUGGAAAACGGCAACAACAUCAAGGAGUUGGACAAAAGCUGCAACGGUCUUGCAAAUAUCCAUCAUGACAUAUAUUAUCCGCGGAUGAUGGAGAUAGGAGGAGAUCUCUAUGCUCUCGGAGUUGUCAAAUGUGACGUCAGUGUCUCUCAGGUAUACAGGCGCCAAUCGCAGCGGUGGGAAGCUCUGCCUCCUCCCAUACCGAGUUUCAGUCAUGAUUUCACUCGUCGUACUCUAUUUUCUCUACUUUCCACGGACAACAAGAUCUUUCUAUCCACCUAUUUCCCACAUAUGCCGGUCAAAUGUUUCGACACCGACUGUAAAUACUAGAUAGCUGAUUCCGGCUUCGACAGUGAGGUUUUCCCCUUUGUGGGUGAGGCUUUAGUCGUGGACUUGGAUAAACCUAGCAAGGAGAAGUUGGUGUUUGCCUAUGGUCGUGAUACUAUAUACGUGUGGCGAUUGGGAUUGACUGAUGAUCUGAAAGGUUCUUGUCUUACCAGAUACGGGUCUGUGAAUGUGAAACCCAGGUUGCUUGGCUUAUUGGGACUUCAAACAAAUGUAUCUAAGCAGCAUCGUCUCAUCGAUCUAGGAGAUGGAAAAAUCUGCUUGGUUAGAGCCAGGAGCUACCCAGUUGUUGAAGGUUUUAUAAAUUCAGAAGGGCUUGAGAAGGUGUGUGUUGUUAUCAUAGUAUUCAAAUAUGAGUUUGAUCCGAGAGCACAAGCCUUGGCCUACAAGUUCCUGUCUACCCGCAACUUUACCUUCAUGCCCCAUUGCAAGGAAUGCUGCUUUGUCCGCCUGCUUAAAUGCUUUGUGCGCUAGCUAGAUAGCUUCCUUAGUACUCAACAUGUUGCAGUUGUUGCCCGGUUGGUUGCCGCUUGCUUAUAUGAUGAUUAGGUUCCAAUAAUACUCUUUUGAUUUACUUUAUUACUGCGCGGCCCUGCGGUAAUUGUCGGGGGUUUAGGGUUUAGGGGUUGUUCCUACCAUCGACCAAGGAUAAUUGUUACUGUUAUGUAAUCAUGGCAUGGUAUCUAUAGUUUGGAAACUGCUUGAUAAAAUGGCUAAAGUGUGGCCUUCUCUUUCUAUGGUGAUAAACAUUGAAGGGGUAGAUAUGAUGGUUGGAGUUCCUCUGAGGAGUGGCAGUCCUGCUCUUGAUGAUCUUUCAGUGGAUUCCCAUCCAUUCAGUUCUUCUGGAUGGUUGUGAACAUGUAGCUAGAAUCCCAUGGGGUUGCUUAUGAUACUCUUCCAUUUUUGGAACUAUAAAAGCCGGUGUGCAUUACGUUCUUUCAGAUGCCAGUCUGCUGAGAUUUUGAAUUUUAUGGCUUGGCUUCAAAAGACAUACACUCUUAUGGCAUUUCACUAAGACAUCGUGAUGACAUUCUCCUUUGCUAUGUGCAAGUACUCCUCGGGAUGGAGUAGCUUCAUGGAUGCAUUGCAGGAAGCCGGGGCAUGUUUUAUAUUGGUCAUUCAAUGAGAAAUAUGCAAAGGAACAGUCCCUCAAGAUUACCAGACGCCGUUGUUGUUUCUAGUGCUUUUCCUCAAAACUGUGUGGAGAAUUUGUAUGCAAAGUCGGUUGGAGUUCCGGUGUACAAGCGAGACGAUUGGUCAAGACUCAAGACAACUGACAUUGGGCUACAUUAAUCUUAUUGCUGUAAGCGGUAGCCAUCGUGAGAAUGGUUAUAAUCUAUUAUCCUCGUCGAUCAUAGUUAUGCUGGCUUAACAUUGUCAACAUGGGUUAUAUAUAAAUGUUCACUGUGAUCUAUCUACUGCCUAUUAGAUAAGUGUAGCCCAAAUGGGCAAGUGGUUUUAAGAUAACUUUUUGUAUCAUCGACUUUAAAUUGCAGUAUUAGUAGAAACACGAAAGUUACGAAAUGUUUAUUCCUUUGAUAAAUCUGGAUGGUUGGAUUUGAUAUAGUUCUAAA